ACUCCUACGGGAGGCAGCAGUGGGGAAUAUUGGACAAUGGGCGGAAGCCUGAUCCAGCAACGCCGCGUGAGGGAUGACGGCCUUCGGGUUGUAAACCUCUUUCACCGAUGGCGAAGCCGUCCCUUUUUGGGGGGUGGUGACGGUUAGUCGGAGAAGAAGCACCGGCCAACUACGUGCCAGCAGCCGCGGUAAUACGUAGGGUGCGAGCGUUGUCC
rnacentral:rRNA from 1 species